GCAAUAUUUACGGUCAACUACAAAUACCAGCCACAGCCUAUCGUCUGCAGAUACUAUUCCAGAUGUAAGGAGCAGUACACCAGAUACAGCUGUUGGAAGAAGCUCUGCAGAUGUUGGACGUCUCUUCAGAGCCAUGGUGACCGAAUCAGCACCACUUUUCGAUGAUAUCGCUGAGGAGGAUGAUUCAUCAAGAGAGGUGAUUCUGAAUCUUGUUCCAGUUCCAGCACCAGAG